AGCAGCCGCGGUAAUUCCAGCUCCAAUAGCGUAUAUUAAAGUUGUUGCAGUUAAAAAGCUCGUAGUUGAAUUUCGGGAUCAGAUUGUCGGUCGUGCCUCGGUACGCACUGGCAUUAUUGGUUCCUACCUUCUGAAGAACCGCGAUGUCAUUAAUUUGGUGUCGUGGGGAAUCAGGACUGUUACUUUGAAAAAAUUAGAGUGUUUAAAGCAGGCGCACGCUUGAAUACAUUAGCAUGGAAUAAUGAAAUAGGACGUUUGAUUCUAUUUUGUUGGUUUCUAGGAUCGACGUAAUGAUUAAUAGGGAUAGUUGGGGGCAUUAGUAUUCAAUUGUCAGAGGUGAAAUUCUUGGAUUUAUUGAAGACUAACUACUGCGAAAGCAUUUGCCAAGGAUGUUUUCAUUAAUCAAGAACGAAAGUUAGGGGAUCGAAGACGAUCAGAUACCGUCGUAGUCUUAACCAUAAACUAUGCCGACUAGGGAUCGGAUGAUGUUAAUUUUAUAAUGACUCAUUCGGCGCCUUACG
rnacentral:rRNA from 1 species